rnacentral:rRNA from 1 species
UGGGGGAUAUUGCACAAUGGGGGAAACCCUGAUGCAGCGACGCCGCGUGAGUGAAGAAGUAUCUCGGUAUGUAAAGCUCUAUCAGCAGGGAAGAAGAUGACAGUACCUGAGUAAGAAGCCCCGGCUAACUACGUGCCAGCAGCCGCGGUAAUACGUAGGGGGCAAGCGUUAUCCGGAUUUACUGGGUGUAAAGGGAGCGUAGACGGCUGUGUAAGUCUGAAGUGAAAGCCCGGGGCCCAACCCCGGGACUGCUUUGGAAACUGUGCAGCUUGAGUACAGGAGGGGCAGGCGGAAUUCCUGGUGUAGCGGUGAAAUGCGUAGAUAUCAGGAGGAACACCGGCGGCGAAGGCGGCCUGCUGGACUGAAACUGACGUUGAGGCUCGAAAGCGUGGGGAGCAAACAGG